CUUCUUUAUGACAUCUUCUUUUAUUACCUCUUAGAAUAAUCCUUUGGAAGUCUGAACCAAGGAGGCUUGAGAGAAAACCAUGGUAGAUUUAAGCAGGGAGCGAUUAGGCACCUCAGUGACAAAUACAUUUGUCUCUAUUGAGAACAUCCUGACCUAGAGCUAUAUUGCAUUUGGUUUUGUCCCAUCUCAAUAUCAAAGCCUGGGAGAACAGCAAGAUGAGCACUGGGAAGGAUUCCCAUCGUGCAAUUUCAUUCCACACAGAACUAAAUUGACUAAUCAGUGGAAAAAGCCUAGUUUCAGAUACCUCCUUAAUUCUGGUCAGAUGUGUUGCAUGAACAUCUCUAGCAGAGAAAAUCUGAGAAGUACAUCUCAAAGGCAGGUUUGUGCUGAAAGAGCUCAGACAGUUCAAAAUGCCAGGGAAUCAAGGAAAUAAGAAAUAAAAUAUCCCACAUACCAUUAAAAAUGAGCUCACUGAGUCUGUGGAAGAAUAUUUACUUCUUUGCCCAGCUGCUGGAGUUUAGCUACUAUUGUUAUGCAGAUGCAUACUUGCAGUUUAUGAGGUAAGACCAGGAGAUUUGUCAAGGAAAUCGGGGGAACAGAAUAAAACUCUAAAUGCCAAGAUGAAUGUGUUUUGCUUUCCCAUUCUU
rnacentral:lncRNA from 1 species